AGAUAGCACAGGCAUUUGGGGCUUCUGAAAUUAUUGUUGUUGAUGUUCAUGAUGAUAAACUUUACAAUGCAAAGAUGCUAGGAGCAACUCAUACAAUAAAUGCAGUAAAAGAAAAUGUCGUUGACAAGAUAAAGCUCAAUUGGUUUUCUUCAAAAAUGGUGAAGGGAAAGUGAUAUGUAUCCUUGUUGUGGUGGCGAGUCCUCUAGUGGUGGUUCGCCCUCGAAUAUAAUUACAGAAGACACGCAGGAGAAGUUAUCGGUAUAGCUGUCAGAUGUGCGGGUGGACUAUUGAUACUCGCAUCCAUUUUCUAUCCAUGGUGGAUGAAGGAAUCACCUGGCCAUAUGCGAGUGCACACAGACUCACCAAGAUUUGUACUUUCAACAUUAUUAUAAUUGUAAUUGAAUUGAAUGAAUGAAUGAUUGUAAUUAAUUCAUUAUUGAAUGAAUGAUUGUAAUUGACUUACUGAAUGAAUGAUUGUAAUUAAUUGAAUGAAU